GGGGGUGUGGCGGAAUUGGUAGACGCAACGGACUUAAAAUCCGUUGAUAUAUACAUCGUGAGGGUUCGAGUCCCUCCACCCCCA
rnacentral:tRNA from 1 species